AGUACCCUCAAGCAAAGAGACCUUUAGUUUGAUACCCCGAAACCAGGUGAGCUACCCCGAGACAGCCUAUAAUAAUUUAGGGCUAACCCGUCUCUGUGGCAAAAGAGUGGGAAGAGCUCCGGGUAGAAGUGACAGACCUACCGAACCUGGUGAUAGCUGGUUGCCUAAGAAAUGGAUAGAAGUUCAGCCUCGCACACCCCUAAUCAAAGUACACAUCAACAAGAUACUAAGGGAAAGGUACGAGAGUUAGUUGAAGGGGGUACAGCCCCUUUAACAGAGGACACAACCUUCACAGGAGGAUAAAGAUCAUAAUAUGCAAAACAUACUGUUCUAGUGG
rnacentral:rRNA from 1 species